GGAAGUGUGGCAGAACGGUAAUGCAGCGGCUUGCUAAGCCGCCGGCGCGGCAAACACCGCGCUUGGAGGUUCGAAUCCUCUCACUUCCG
rnacentral:tRNA from 3 species